rnacentral:rRNA from 1 species
GUGAACGCUGGCGGUAGGCCUAACACAUGCCGGUCGAACGGCAGCACAGUAAGAGCUUGCUCUUACGGGUGGCGAGUGGCGGACGGGUGAGGAAUACAUCGGAAUCUACUUUUUCGUGGGGGAUAACGUAGGGAAACUUACGCUAAUACCGCAUACGACCUACGGGUGAAAGCAGGGGAUCUUCGGACCUUGCGCGAUUGAAUGAGCCGAUGUCGGAUUAGCUAGUUGGCGGGGUAAAGGCCCACCAAGGCGACGAUCCGUAGCUGGUCUGAGAGGAUGAUCAGCCACACUGGAACUGAGACACGGUCCAGACUCCUACGGGAGGCAGCAGUGGGGAAUAUUGGACAAUGGGCGCAAGCCUGAUCCAGCCAUACCGCGUGGGUGAUGAAGGCCUUCGGGUUGUAAAGCCCUUUUGUUGGGAAAGAAAAGCAGCAGGUUAAUACCCCGCUGUUCUGACGGUACCCAAAGAAUAAGCACCGGCUAACUUCGUG